rnacentral:rRNA from 1 species
AUGCAACUGAGCUGUCAUAAGCCCAAGGUGUACUUAAGAUCGCCCUUAAGAUGAUCCUAGCCCUUCUGACUGAUUUAGCCCCACGAAAGCUAGGGCCCAAACUGGGAUUAGAUACCCCACUAUGCCUAGCCCUAAAUCUCGAUGCUUGCCGUACCAAAGCAUCCGCCCGAGAACUACGAGCACAAACGCUUAAAACUCUAAGGACUUGGCGGUGCCCCAAACCCACCUAGAGGAGCCUGUUCUAUAAUCGAUAAUCCACGAUUCACCCGACCACCUCUCGCCAAAGCAGCCUACAUACCGCCGUCGCCAGCUCACCUCCCCUGAGAGCCCAGUAGUGAGCACAAUAGCCUAACCUGCUAGCAAGACAGGUCAAGGUAUAGCCCAUGAGGUGGGAGAAAUGGGCUACAUUUUCUACGAUAGAAAACCCACGGAAGGGGGCAUGAAACAGCCCCCAGAAGGCGGAUUUAGCAGUAAAGUGGACAAUAGAGCCCCCUUUAAGUUGGCCCUAGGGCACGUACAUACCGCCCGUCACCCUCC